GUAAAUGCUUUUUUAAAAGCAACAAUUUUUAACAUUCUAAAUUUAG
rfam:Fukomys damarensis contig127997, whole genome shotgun sequence.